AAGGCAAACGAGUCAGCUGUUUUCACUUAGGGCCAAAGUUCUAGGCUAGAAGGCGGAGUUUAGUCAGGAACCCAUCCAUUCCGUAUCCGUUGGGGGACCUUAGAAAUGUAUUUUUGGUUUACAGGCUCGUCUGCCUGUGGAGCCCUUUGUGACUGCCCAGGUCCUUUCACUCCUUUCCUUCCCGGGCUUGUGCACGCUGGGUCAGGCCCCGUCUCACUGUGACUGCUCAUCCUUUUGGGCACCAGAGCCAUGAGGAAGCAGGACUCAGGCCCCCGACUCCUAACUCCAGGUGAAGCCCACCCUGAGCUCAGGAGCAGAGCUGCCUCCAUUGGGUGUGGAGAGACGGAGCCUCCUCCCGAGCCGGGCCUCCUCAUUGGCCCACGGGAGCUGCUGUGGCUCUGACCCCUGUACCUGGCUCUGUCGACUGGAAUAGUUAGUGGGCAGCCAGCACGCCUUUGGGUGCCAUGUGUGGUGAGAUCCUAUCCUGACUUGACAUUUUAAAAGGUUGUCAAUAAAAAGAGCCAAACUCUGUAAAA